rnacentral:rRNA from 1 species
AUUGAACGCUGGCGGCAGGCUUAACACAUGCAAGUCGAGCGGAGUGAUGGUGCUUGCACUAUCACUUAGCGGCGGACGGGUGAGUAAUGCUUAGGAAUCUGCCUAUUAGUGGGGGACAACAUCUCGAAAGGGAUGCUAAUACCGCAUACGUCCUACGGGAGAAAGCAGGGGAUCACUUGUGACCUUGCGCUAAUAGAUGAGCCUAAGUCGGAUUAGCUAGUUGGUGGGGUAAGGGCCUACCAAGGCGACGAUCUGUAGCGGGUCUGAGAGGAUGAUCCGCCACACUGGGACUGAGACACGGCCCAGACUCCUACGGAAGGCAGCAGUGGGGAAUAUUGGACAAUGGGGGGAACCCUGAUCCAGCCAUGCCGCGUGUGUGAAGAAGGCCUUAUGGUUGUAAAGCACUUUAAGCGAGGAGGAGGCUCUUUUGGUUAAUACCCAAGAUGAGUGGACGUUACUCGCAGAAUAAGCACCGGCUAACUCUGUGCCAGCCGCCGCCGUAA